rnacentral:rRNA from 1 species
CAGUUUGUAGCAAUACAGAUGGGUGCACGGCGCACGGGUGCGUAACACGUGGGCAAUCUGCCCUCCGAUGGGGAAUAACCCCGCGAAAGCGGGGCUAAUUCCGCAUAACAUUCCCUGGACCUCGGUUUGGGGAUUCAAAGCCGUAAGGCGUCGGAGGAGGAGCCCGCGCCCGAUUAGCUAGUUGGUGAGGUAACGGCUCACCAAGGCAAUGAUCGGUAGCUGGUCUGAGAGGAUGGCCAGCCACACUGGAACUGAGACACGGUCCAGACUCCUACGGGAGGCAGCAGUGGGGAAUCUUGCGCAAUGGGCGAAAGCCUGACGCAGCGACGCCGCGUGGGGGAUGAAGCUUCUCGGA